AUUGAACGCUGGCGGCAGGCCUAGCACAUGCAAGUCGAACGGUAACAGGAAGAAGCUUGCUUCUUUGCUGACGAGUGGCGGACGGGUGAGUAAUGUCUGGGAAACUGCCUGAUGGAGGGGGAUAACUACUGGAAACGGUAGCUAAUACCGCAUAACGUCGCAAGACCAAAGAGGGGACCUUCGGGCCUCUUGCCAUCGGAUGUGCCCAGAUGGGAUUAGCUAGUAGGUGGGGUAACGGCUCACCUAGGCGACGAUCCCUAGCUGGUCUGAGAGGAUGACCAGCCACACUGGAACUGAGACACGGUCCAGACUCCUACGGGAGGCAGCAGUGGGGAAUAUUGCACAAUGGGCGCAAGCCUGAUGCAGCCAUGCCGCGUGUAUGAAGAAGGCCUUCGGGUUGUAAAGUACUUUCAGCGGGGAGGAAGGGAGUAAAGUUAAUACCUUUACUCAUUGACGUUACCCGCAGAAGAAGCACCGGCUAACUCCGUG
rnacentral:rRNA from 1 species